rnacentral:rRNA from 1 species
GAUGAACGCUGGCGGCGUGUCUAAGGCAUGCAAGUCGAACGAACUACUUCGGUAGUGAGUGGCAAACGGGUGAGUAACGCACUGGUAAUUUGCCCUGAGGUCGAGGACAACCAUUAGAAAUGAUGGCUAAUACUCGAUGGACAUGGGGGGUCUACGGACAUUCCCAUGUAAAGCUCCGGCGCCUCAGGAGAAGCCUAUGUCUGAUUAGCUUGUUGGUAGGGUAAUGGCCUACCAAGGCAACGAUCAGUAGCGGGUGUGAGAGCAUGACCCGCCACACUGGGACUGAGACACUGCCCAGACUCCUACGGGAGGCUGCAGUCGAGAAUCUUCCACAAUGCGCGAAAGCGUGAUGGAGCGACGCCGCGUGCCGGAUGAAGCCCUUCGGGGUGUAAACGGCUUUUCUAGGAGACGAAUUCGUGACGGUAUCUUAGGAAUAAGAGGGUGCUAACUCUGUGCCAGCAGCCGCAGUAAAAC